UAAUUGAUAAGCUUGUUUUUUAAAUAAAGUUAAUGUUUAGUAAGAAAAAUAAUUUUUAAUUUUUUAAUUAGUAAUAUUUAAUGAAGGUUAGUAUUGGCUAUAGCGGAAAGUACUGUGAAGGAAAGUUUAUUAGAUUUUAUAUAGUAAAAAUAAAUUUUUGUAUCUUGUGUAUCAGAGGAGAUUUAUAUAAUUUAUUUAUUUUAAAGAUCUCGAAACAAAAAUAGUAAAUUUUUAUGUAAUUUUCUUUUUGUAAUAAAAGAAUUAAAUGUAAAAUUGAAAGUGAAAUGCUAGUUGAGUUUUGUUAUAUCUAGUUUUUUAAAAUAUAAAUAAAAUUUAGUUUUUGUGAUAAAUAAAAUUCGCAUAAAUCUAUGAUAGGAGGGAUUAGCUUCUUAUGAAAAAUUCAUUUAAACAAUUAGAUAAAAUAAAUGUGUAAAUUGGGCUUAGAAGUAGCUAUAUUUAUAAAGUGUUUUAACUAAAUUAAAGUUAUAAAAAUAUUUUAUAUAAUUUUUUAUUGUAUUAAAGAAUUGAUUAAAAUUAAAAUAAUUAAGAUAUAAUGGUUUUAUUAGUAAAAAUUAUUGAGGAAAAUUAUAUGUAUUAAAAUAGUUUGUAUUGUUUGAGUUAAUUGUAAUUAAUAUAAAGGAAUUCGGCAAAAUUUUUUCUUUGCCUGUUUAUCAAAAACAUGUCUUUUUGAAGAUAAAAAAAGUCAAGCCUGCCCACUGAUAAUUUUAAGGGCCGCGGUACUCUGACCGUGUGAAGGUAGCGUAAUCAUUAGUUUUUUAAUUGAGAUCUUGUAUGAAUGGUUAGACAAGAGAAAGUCUGUCUCCUUAUUAACAUUGAAUUUAACUUUUAAGUGAAAAGGCUUAAAUAAAUUAAAGGGACGAUAAGACCCUAUAAAGCUUAAUAUUAAAAUGCUAUCAGAUUGAAUUGAUAUAUAAUAUUUUUGUAAUGUAAUUUAUUCUGUUGGGGCGACAAAAGUAAAAUGUUUAAUAACUGCUUUUUAAAAAAUUACAUAUUAAUUGGUUUAGUUUUAUUAGAUCCUAAAUAAAGAUUAUAAGUUUAAGUUACUUUAGGGAUAACAGCGUUAUUUUUUUUGAGAGUACAUAUCGAAAAAAAAGUUUGCGACCUCGAUGUUG
rnacentral:rRNA from 1 species